rnacentral:lncRNA from 1 species
AGGGGGAUUAGUCAUCGUCAUCCUCAGCCUUUGCUUAAUUCAUCCAAGACGAAGGGUGCCAAUUGGCUCUCAAGCCAAUUUUCACUCGACUCAUCCGAGGACAAGAAGCACUAGUUGGCCCUUAUAAUGGGUCUCCACUCAACUCAUCCGAGGAUGAGGAGCACUAGUUGGCCCUCUUUAUGGCCUCCACCCGACUUGUCCUUGGAUGAGGAGUGCCUAUUAGCCUUUUUGUUGGUCUCCACUUAAGAUGUUCGAAGAUGAGGAGCAUCCAUUGGUCAUGUUGUUGAUCUCUAAUCAACUCAUCCGAGGAUGAGGAGCAUCCA